AUAUACUAAUAAAAAAUCAACAUUUCUUACUGCUUCCGGUAUGUCACAACGAAAUACGUGGCACUGAAAUAUGGCUGACUCUUGUGUAUCACCGUGGGACCAUGUGAAGGCAAAACAAGCAGCACAGCUACCAGUAAUAUCACCACAUUGCUAAGAAUUUUGUAUAAAAGAUGAACAACUUACACUACCGAACCCUGAGAACUGCUAGGCACAGAGACUGAAACUUUAAUCUCAAGAUUGACAGUCUGUUCAGCUGAUAGAAUUGCCAUAUUCCUCUGGAUUUCAGCCUCAGAUUUGGGGGCAUUUAUUGCAGCAGACCCAAGAUAAGUUACUCCAUUGAAUAUCGUGCAGUCCUGGUGAAAAUCUGCCAUUGUGUUCAACUCUGUGCAUUCCGGAAGAAACAAAAAAAAAACUUGAGAAAAUUGUUCUCUCUCUCUCUGAAAAUAUUCAUCACAAAACUCACCAUAAUCUUCAUAAUCAUCUGGCUUCAUUUCAUCCUGUUUUUCAGUGGUUACCACAUCAUAAAAUUUACUUUGCCCCACUUCUUUCGUUCUCUGGAUGGUACCAUCAAUGAUCUUGACGUCGCCAAUACUAUCCAUUUUUGUGUCUUCAGUUAAUACCUCUCUUAAAUUAUUUUGGAGAUCUUCUAAAUUACCAUUAUUGGCGAUAUUUAGCAUAGGUGGCUCGAGAAGGGCCUGUUGAUUUUUCGAUGAUCCUUUGUCAUUCACGAAUUCAUAUUCAUCGCUAGUCGCCACUGAUUCCAUCGACUUUACGCUCAAACUAUCCUCCAUAACUUGACCCUAUAGACAAUUAUACUCAAUUAUUGAUUUUUUAUUUCCAGGUAAAAAUGAGACAUAAUGCAUAAAUGAUCCAUGGAAAAGACACUGAAUGAAAUUAUUAUUAUUAUUAUUAUUAUUCAACAUCCAAACUAAAUUAUCAUAAAAACAAAACAACAACAACAACAACAACUAUUGGCCAUCGAUAUAUUCCCCAAGGAAAUGUUGGAAGCAACAAAUUGCCCAUCUUUCUUACCAAUGAUGUCAAUACGGUGUCACAUUCGCUUUUUUUUAGAUCAUCUGGAUGACAUUAUAGCCCCGCCUCAUCAUCACGACUCAAUUUUCCACUCAUAUCCUCAGUGACAAACUGGAUCUCUGAUUUAACAGUGUUGUCAGAAUCCACAAAUUAGUCUAUCCACUGAAAAAAUCCAAUGAUACACACAAUUCAAAUAUUCUAUACCUAGGUCUCAUCAGUGUAAUAAUUGAGGGAUUGAAUUGAGGAAAAAAAAAGUGAUGCAAAAAAUUACGUUGGAAAAUGGCUUUGGCAAUUUUAUACCACUCAACCUGAGCUCAACCCAAAUUACCUAUUGCUCUUACAUUUGACAUCACAUAAUGAUGUUUAUCAAUUUCUCGUCUUAUCGAAUCGCCUUUUUAUUAGUCCUUUUGGUAAAAAUUACAGGGGCACGACAAUCUGACAGACACUAAUAUUAUACAUAUAAGCAGAGCUACGGCGUCCGCCAUUUGAUCGGUAGUCACAUGUAUAUAUAAUCAAUAAUAUAUAUGUACAUACAUGUGGAAAACCGCCAACUCAUGCUAAAUUCAAAAAGCAAUCUGUUUUACAUAUCGAAAAUACAGAACAUUUAAUGAAAAAUCA